GUGUUGGUACUGGUGAUGGGUGGUGGUGAUUGUAGUGAUGAUGGGUGUUGGUACUGGUGAUGGGUGGUGGUGGUUGUAGUAAUGAUGGGUGUUGGUACGGUGAUGGGUGGUGGUGGUUGUAGUGAUGAUGGAUGUUGGUACUGGUGAUGGGUGGUGGUGGUAGUAGUGAUGAUGGAUGUUGGUACUGGUGAUGGGUGGUGGUGGUGGUAGUGAUGAUGGGUGGUGGUGGUGGUGGUGGUGAUGGGUGGUGGUGGUGGUAGUGAUGAAGGAUGUUGGUACUGGUGAUGGGUGGUGGUGGUAGUAGUGAUGAUGGGUGUUGGUAUGGUGGAUGGGUG